rnacentral:rRNA from 1 species
GACGAACGCUGGCGGCGUGCCUAAUACAUGCAAGUCGAACGCAGUGGGGACGGGUGAGUAACACGUGGGUAACCUCCCAUCAGAGGGGAUAACACUUGGAAACAGGUGCUAAACCGAUACUGAUGGAUGAACCCGCGGUGCAUUAGCUAGUUGGUGAGGUAACGGCUCACCAAGGCCACGAUGCAUAACCGGCCUGAGAGGGUGAUCGGCCACACUGGGACUGAGACACGGCCCAGACUCCUACGUGAGGCAGCAGUAGGGAAUCUUCCGCAAGGGACGAAAGUCUGACCUAGCAACGCCGCGUGUGUGAAGAAGGUUUUCGGAUCGUAAAACUCUGUUGUUAGAGAAGCGGUAACGAAACAGAAAGCCACGGCUAACUACGUGCCAGCAGCCGCGGUAAUAC